CACGUAGGGCGCAAGCGUUGUCCGGAAUUAUUGGGCGUAAAGAGCUCGUAGGCGGUCUGUUGCGUCUGCUGUGAAAACUCGGGGCUUAACCCCGAGCCUGCAGUGGAUACGGGCAGACUAGAGGUAGGUAGGGGAGAAUGGAAUUCCCGGUGUAGCGGUGAAAUGCGCAGAUAUCAGGAGGAACACCAAUGGCGAAGGCAGCACUCUGGGACGUGACUGACGCUGAGACGCGAAAGCGUGGGGAGCAAACAGG
rnacentral:rRNA from 1 species